rnacentral:rRNA from 1 species
AUGGCGAUGGUGCUGGAUGCAUUCGCGUCCUACGUGGGCCACAUGCUCGCGCAGAUAGCAGAAGAUGAGGUAGGGGUGAUGCUGGGCGUCUCCGGCGAGAUCGACAAGUUGGGCGACAAGCUCCGGGACCUCAAGAACUUCCUUGCUGACGCCGACAGGAGGAACAUCACGGACGAGACCGUCCAAGAGUGGGUAGGGCAGCUCAAGCGCGCCAUGUACGAAGCUACUGAUAUUCUCGAUCUCUGCAACCUCAAGGCCAUGGAGCGUGGAUCAUCCUGCGUUGAUGUAGGUUGUUUCAAUCCCUUGCUCUUCUGCAUGCGGAAUCCCUCACAUGCUCAUCAGAUCGGCACCCGUAUAAUGGCUCUCAAUCAGAGGCUCGACUCCAUCAAGGAGCGGAGCGCUGCUUUCAAAUUCAUCAAUCUUGGGUCAUAUGAGGAUCGUCAUAGCAGCAAUGCCCAUGCCUCCCAACAUGGUAAUCCAUGCCGGGAGACGACAGGGGACUUCGACCAGUUGGCUCUGGUCGGGGAGAAGAUUGAAGAAGAUACAAGAGCACUGGUGGCCCAGAUCAUGCAGACAAGUGAGGACGUCAACAACAACGUCCUGGUGCUUGCCAUAGUAGGUGUUGGCGGUAUUGGCAAGACCACUCUCGCACAGAAGGUCUUCAAUGAUGAGGCAAUCAAAGCCGAAGGAGAUGCCCAACCUGCUGGAAAUGCAAAGGCCACGCUUAACCGAACCCUCAAGGAGGCCUUGAGGGGCCACAAGACCUUAUUGGUAAUGGACGAUGUGUGGAACCAUGAAGCAUGGGAGGGUGUGCUCAAAAUACCCUUAGUCAAUGUUGUGGCCGCAGGCAGCCGAGUCCUCAUCACAACAAGAGAUGUAGGUGUUGCCCGUGGGAUGACAGCCGCAUUGCCCUACCACCACGUCGAUACAUUAGGGCCUGCUGAUGCUUGGUCAUUGCUCAAGAAGCAGGUACUGUCAACUGAGAUAGAUGAAGAGCACAUCAAUAUUGGAUUUAAAAUUAUACAAAGAUGUGGUGGUCUACCACUUGCCAUCAAAGUAAUGGGGGGUCUCUUGCGUCAAAGAGGGGGGCUACGUUCUUACUGGGAGCAGGUUUUGGAUGAUUCUAAAUGGUCCACAACCAAAAUGCCCCAAGAGCUCAACUAUUUAGUAUACUUGAGCUAUGAAGAUAUGCCUCCUUAUUUGAAGCAGUGCUUUAUUUACUACUCUCUUCUUCCUAAAAGAACUAGGUUUAGUGUGCAUCAAGUCAUUGCCUUGUGGAUUAGUGAAGGAUUUGUUCAUGGAAGCUCGAAUGAUUUAGAAGAAUGUGGAAGAAAGUACCAUGAUGAGUUAAUAUCUCGGAACCUUAUAGAGCCAGAUCAACGGUAUAUCAAUCAGCAUUUUUGCAGCAUGCAUGAUGUUAUUCGCUCAUUUGCUCAAUAUAUAAGUAAAGAUGAAGCACUUGUUGCUCAUGACGAAGGCGUUGAUAUUUUGAAGAAGCUUAAUUCGCAAAAGUUUCUUCGGUUGUCUAUAGAAACCAACCGGUUGCAAUCAGGUGCACUUGAUUGGAAAUCUUUACAGGAGCAGAAAUCAGUGAGGACAUUAAUCUCAACUAUGCCAAUAAAGAUGGAGCCUGAUGAUUCAUUGGUUACUUUCUCUAGUCUCCGGAGUCUACAUAUAGAAUCUGCAGAUGUGGCUACAUUGGUUAAAGCAUGGCAUAAACUCAAGCAUCUGCGGUAUUUGACACUAGUAAAUAAUGAUAUAUCUGUACUUCCAGGAAAUAUUGGCAAGAUGAAACUAUUGCAAUUCCUUAACCUUUCUCGAUGUACAAAAUUGGUGAAUCUUCCUGAUAGCAUUGUGAAGCUUGGCCAGCUGAGGUUACUUAGUCUUCCCAAAAGCAAUAUAAUACCUAGAGGGUUCUCCGGUCUCACAAAUAUGAGGAAACUCCUUGGGUUUCAAGCCCACAUGGAUGGUGAUUGGUGCAGUUUGGACGAGUUGGGUUCUCUUUCCCAACUCAGACUUCUCAGUUUAUAUCAAUUGGAGAAUGUAUCUGCUGCCUCAUUUGCUGCUAAUGCUAGGCUUGCUGAGAAGAUUCCUCUUAAUGAACUGUUAUUGUACUGUACCAGCAUACAAGGACCUGACGGGUUGGCCAAAGAAAAAGGAAGUGUCUCUGAGGAAGAGCAACGCAAAAUCAAGAAUGUGUUUGAUGCACUCUGCCCUCCGCCCAAUGUGGAGAAAAUCGACAUUGAUGGUUAUUUUGGUCGGCAACUCCCGAGUUGGACGAUGUCCAGGUCAAGGGUGCCCCUCAAUAACUUGAAGUUUCUAUUACUUCAUAACCUGGUUUGUUGCACCCAACCUCCCAGUGGGUUGUGUCAGCUCCCCUACCUGCAGCACCUCCAGGUCGUCGGUGCUCCAUGCAUCAGGCGUGUUGGAACUGAAUUCUUGCAGGCUGUAGGAGCUCCAUUUCUGAGGUUAAACAGUCUGUCCUUAUCCGGAAUGGUGGAACGGGAGGAGUGGGAGUGGGAGGAGCAAGUACAAGCCAUGCCCCGUUUGGAGACGAUUCAACUCAAUAAUUGCAAACUGAGUCGUUUUCCUCCUGGGUUUGCCUCCAAUGCAAGGGCUUUGAAACAGUUAAGCCUACAACAUGUCCAGCAGCUCAGAUACAUUGAGAACUUUCCUUCUGUUGUCGAGAUUACAGUGCUUGGAAGCCCCAACCUAGAGAGGAUCUCCAAUCUCCCUAAUCUGCGGAAGCUUAACAUCAACAAUUGCCCAAAGUUGAAGGUGGUGAAGAGUAUCCCUGCACUUGAGAAGCUGGUCUUGUGUGAUUACGCCAUGGAAAAACUCCCAGAUUACACCCGAGAUGUAAAUCCAAAGCUUUUCAUAUUAUUGUGCAGGCUAUGGCUGCUCGCUUCGGUAGCUGCGGGACAACUUGGUAUUGAGUGGGAUAAGUUCAGGCAUGUGAACCAUGUGAAGGCAUAUGCACAUGGUGGAAAUAACGGAGGUGAAUGGUACGUUCUGUACACAAGAGGCAACGACAAGUUGGAUACAAAUAUCAGGCACUCCACCGUAUUUGAAGAAACCUUGUCAUCUCGUAUGGUGGACCCACAAGGAUUUGAGUCUAUGUACAAAAUGAGAAGAAGCACCUUCAGUUACAUUUGCAGCUUGGUGAGGUUGCCAUUUUUAGAAGAUAUGAUAGCGAGGGAUCACACCUUUGUUGAUGGGAGAGUGAUGUCUUUACAAGAUCGAGUAGCCACUGCUCUGAGAAUGUUGAAUUCUGGUGAACCACCGGUGGUCGUAGGAUCCUCUCUUGGUGUCAACGAAUCCACUGUCUCGCUGAUCAAGUGCAGGUUUGACAAGAUCCACGGCUUGCCAAAUUGUUGCGGUGUUAUACAUAGAGCUUACUUUAAAUUUGGAUCACCAAACCUUGACCAUGAGGAGAACGCUGACACUUUAAUGCAGGCCGUCGUUGAUCCAGAUAUGAGAUUCACAGAUAUUUGGUUUGGAGCAUCAAGUAGCAUGAACCAGUCAAGUCUUUUGCACGACUCUUGGCUCUUCAAGUCCUACGAGAAAGGUACUUUGUUGGAUGGUAGCAAGCUGAAGGUAUCAGACGGCUCAGACGUUGGGGAAUUCAUCAUUGGUGAUGCAGGAUACCCUCCUCGUCCAUGGCUCCUCACACCUUACCGAUUGGAGGAUGACAUCUCAGACUCAAAAGUGGAGUUCAACAAGAGACACUCUGCAGCUACAGCCAUGGCACUGAGGGCACUGGAAAUGUUGAAAGACACGUGGAAGUGUCUACAGGGAGAAGGCUGGCAUCCGAAUAAUCAACAUGAUUUGCGGUGGACAAUCAACACGUGUUGUAGGUUGCAUAACAUAGUGAUAGACAUGGAGGAGGAGGGUGCAGUCAUGCUGAGCAAUCAGGAGGAGAGUUGCAUCGAGCAAGUGAGCCAGUUAUUGGAAGAGGACGCUGUCAAGAUAUUCCUUGGUGACAGGAGCAGGUGGAAGAGGAAACUAGCUAGCCUUGGAGAUAUUCAUCCUGCUGCUUGGUUACAACUUACUUUUACACCGACGGAUCUGGUGGCUUCACAAGUGAUAAAAGAAUUCUCGUCCCUCAGGCCUCAACUAUGUUAUGGUGCCACAGACGACGGCGUCGACAUUGGCCUCGUUGUUGCUGCCGAUCUUCUAUCGAAUUCGCAUCGAAACACUUCAUUCCUUCAUUCAGGAAAAAGAGCUGCCAUGCAGAUUGUUCAUUUAAAGCCAGGUGCAUCAGGAGGCGAGAACAUCUGCAGCGGCACGCCGACCUGA